rnacentral:lncRNA from 1 species
GAAGAACCCAGAAGACAGAGGAAAAAGUUUUUCCUUCCCUAUAUGGGAGUGUGAGAGCCCAACUCUGCCUCAAGAGAGAAGAAAGUCUAAGGAGUUACUUGUGCUCCAGAGCUCCCUGGGAAUCAGACAGAGGCCUAAUGGACCUGGAGGAAAAUAAAAACCCAACUCCAUUUCCCCCUAGCCACACUGUCCUAGCUCAGGGAAAAACUGAGAAGCUGAAUGAAGCUCACAGUCCAGGGCACAGGCUCAAGACAGACUGGGUCCUAAUCACAGGUCUACACACUGAGUUCUAAUCACAGGGCUAUGGAACCCUUCCCUUCCCCACACCUCACCAAAGGCCUAUUUGCCACCGUUUCUGACCCAGUGCAUCACAUCUGGCUAUCAACAAACAAUCACAGGCAUACAAAAAGGUAAAGACCACAGUCUGAAAAGACAGAGCAAAUGUCAGAACCAGACUCAGCUAUGGCACGGACGUUGGAACUAUGAGACUGGGAAUUUAAAAUAACUAUGAUUCAUGUGCUAAGGGCUCUAAUGGAUAAAGUGGACAGUAAGCAAGAACAGAUGGGCAACGUAAAUAGAGAGAUCAAAGUUCUAAGAAAGAAUAAAAGAGAAAUGCGAGAGAUCAAAAACACUAACAAAUGAAGGAUGCUUCUCACGGGCUCAUUAGUAGGGUGGGCACAGCUGAGAAAGACUCUCUGAGGCUGAGGAUAUCUCAAUAGAAACAUCCAAAACUGAAAAGCAAAGGGAAAAAAUGCUGAAUGAAAAAAGCACAGAAUAUCCAAGGACUGUGGGAUAAUUAGAAAAGGUAUAUGUUUAAUAGGAAUACCAAAAGCAGAAGACAGAGAGAAAGGAACAGAUGGAAAGUUGGAAACAAUAAUGACUGAAAAUCAGACACCAAACCACAGAUCCAGGAAGCUCAGAGAACACCAACCAUGAUAAAUGUCAAAAUUAAGCCUAGCCAUAUCGUUUUCAAACUACAGAAAAAUCAGAUAAGGAAAAAAAUCCCAAAAGAUGCCAAAGGUGAAAAACACCUUACUUCCUUAGAGGAACAAAGGUAAGAAUUUCAUCUGACUUCAUGGAAACCAUGCAAGCAAGAA